UCUUUUUACACACACCACAAGGUGGAAUGAUUGUAUCAGCCUAUAUGUAAACAUAUAGGAAUCGUUUUUGAUGUAAACAAAGGAUGGAUCAAUUCCUAUGAUUGUAUCAGUGUUAUAUGUAAACAUACAGGAAUGGAUUUAGAGGUAAACAAAGGCUGGAUCAAUUCUUGAGCCGGGACCCUAUUGUAAUGCAAGGAGUUUGAGCAAUAUCCUUUAUUUGGUUUAGGAGUUUUACGUUGCAGAACUGGUUGCUCAUCAGAAUACUAGACUUUUGCAAAUUGUCAAGAGUUGUGUUGUCAAAAUUAUCCACCAUUGUUUAAUGGAUUGUCUGUAAAACGAGGAUCAGACAGAUGGAAUUGUAGAAUCAAGCAUUGUUAAAAAGCAUGUGUCUUCAAAUAUCUAAACCUCAAAUUGUAUGGACAAUCAUUAAUAUUUGAGACAAAAUGAGUAAAUUAUAUUUCACAAGGGAUACCUUGAAUGAAGUCAAUGCCUGUAUAGAAAACAUUGAGAACUCGAAGGACCCACUGGCGUUAAUGACAAAGAUACAAGAGGAGACCUCUAUAUCUGUCAAGAGAUUGAUAUGCCAAACUGUAUCAGAAAUUUAUUACAAGAAAAUGUUAAUGUAAAUGGAGUGAAUUUCAAAUAAAACAGCUAUACUGAA